rnacentral:rRNA from 1 species
UACGUAGGAGGCGAGCGUUGUCCGGAAUCACUGGGUGUAAAGCGCGUGUAGGCGGCCUGUCAAGUCUGCUGUGAAAGCGCCUGGCUUAACCGGGCGAGGUCGGUGGAAACUGGCGGGCUGGAGUGUGGCAGAGGGGGGUGGAAUUCCACGUGUAGCAGUGAAAUGCGUAGAGAUGUGGAGGAACACCGAUGGCGAAGGCAGCCCCCUGGGCCAACCACGUGACGCUCAGGCACGAAAGCGUGGGGAGCAAACAGG